CUAAUAAAUGUUUAUUUUUGUAGUUUUUACAACUGGGACAGUCACACUGCUGUUUGUAACUCCACUCCCAAUUAUCAAGUGAUUGCUGACAAUCCAGAAGGCUUACUUUUCAAAUAUAAAAGAGACAGAAAAAUUCUCAACGUGGACCCAAAGGUAAUUCUGAUUUACAUUUAUAUAUCUCUUCAGAUUUUAUUGUAUUUUUAUUAUAAUUAAAAAAUCUAUUACAUAUUUGACACCCUGGAGUAUUUUUAGAUCAUAAACAAAAUCUCCUUUGAAACAUAGAGCUUAUUCUCUUUUAAUUUUUUUUAAAGAAAACCUCCAAAGCUUAAUAAAUUAUCAGAAAUUAAUAAGAAAGAAUUUGUGAGGAAUCUACCUAGACCUUAAGAGUAGGAACAGUUCAUGUCUUGCAGCAGGAUUAGAUUAGGGAGCCAAUGGUCAUUGUAUCUGUUUAAUCUGGAGAUGACUGGUCAUUUUUUGCUCUUAGUGGGGAGGUGAGUUAUUUAGGGAAGAGGGACUCUCACUUCACAAUUGUACCCGACAUUCUAAUAUCUCUCAGUAUAUGUAACUAAUACUGAAUAUAAAUAUGCCAUUAGUAUAUUUCUAAGUGUUGACUUAUUAUUAUUUUAAUAUAUGACCCAAGAUAUUUUGAAUUUAUUUAGGGAAAUAUAUUUACAUUUUACAUACUUUCAAAGACUGCAAUUCUAUCGGAACUUUGUAUCAUGACCUGUCGUAUGUCUAGGGAUGAAAAGUUGAAUCAUUAUGUGCUUGGUUUGUUUAUGUGUUUGGGGGUUUUCUUAACUUUUGAAAAAUAUACUAUUCACUUUCAAAUGACAAGAUCAGUCUAAAAUCCAGACAGGAAAAUAUUCCUUUUAAAGUGAAGAAAAUAAGAAUUUUGUGAUAUACACAGGAUAGAGGCAAAGAUGGGCCAAAGGAAAGGGGGAUUUGGGUUCUCAAAUCUUUUUCCAAAGCUUUUAGAGAUUCAAAUUUUAAAAAAAUAAUAAUAAAAAUCUUUGUUUCAUAUCCUCUUAGUACAAUUCCUGGCACAUAAAAUGUGCUCAAUAAUUGAGUCCAAAGAGUGAAUGAAAUUCUAUACCAAGAAAUAGGUUAUUGUCUGCAAUUCAACAGAUUACUGCUGCAGAUUCAGCUGCAAGUAUCAUAAAUCCCAAGAUAGCCAUUUAAACAUGAUAGAAGCUUCCUUCUCUCUCAUAUGGGAAUCUAGAUAGUAGCAUCCAAGGUUGGGAUGGCAGAUCCAAGAUCAUCUGGAUCAGGGUGGCCUUCAUUCUCAGAAGCCAAAUAGAUUUCCAGCCAAAACAACCACAUUCCAAAAGGAACACACAGGGCAAGGCAAGAAGAUGCAAAAGACAUGCCCUUCCUGCCUUUUAAGCUUUCCCCAAAAGCUACCACACAAACAUUUUCAUGUUCCAUUGCAUGAGCUUAGCCAUAUGGCCAUGUCCAGUGAUAUGCAUGAUUGGGAAGUAUAACCUUUCUUCAGGUAGUCAUGCAGCCAGCUAAAAAGCAGGAGUUCUGGAACGGGAAGGGAAGAGGUUUGGAUGGACAACUAGCAGCUGCCGACCCAAUGCUAUCUCCUUUGAAAGAACACAGAUCAUUUUCAGUCUCAGGUUUACUCAUUGGUAAAAUAAAGUCCUAAAUCAGGAAAUCUCCCUGAUCACAUUUAUUAUGAAUCAAUGAAUACCAAAAAAGUUUAUCAAUACACCUUCUCUCUAGUAGUACCUCUUUGCUUAUAGGUUUAAAUCUGUGAUCAGUUGGGGCAAGUACAGAAAACUUAAUAAAUAGCAUUCACAAAUUAGUUUCCUUUUUAAAGCUAAACUAAAUACAAUAAGAAGUUUAAAAUUAUUAGUUGCCUCAUUAAGGUGUGUGAAACAGCUUUGAAUCAGUUUUGAAUGACAUCAUACUUACUCUACUUUAGGCUCAGUUUUAACUAAUGGCAUAUGUGAAGCAUGUAUGUCCUGAAUAGUAAUUUUUGUGAACUGUGGGGAACCAUUACUAAAUACAAACUAUUACUUGAGUAUGAUUCAAGUAAUUUAAUUAAAAUGAUCGCUUUCAAAAUAAUCAUGACGUCUCAAAGAUUAUGUUAACAAUGCCUAAAAUGUAACAUUUCCUCUUUUUUCUGGAAGAAAGUAAGUUGAAUUUGAAGGAAAAUUUUUCUAAAUCUUAGAGAAAAAACAAGGUUUUUGUUAAUGAGUAACAAGAGUAAACAAUUAUUCGGUCAGACACCUGAGGCUAUUUGGAUAUUUUUUUAAAAUUGUAUUCAUGAUAGUUUUUAAAUUUUACUUUAAUUUUGUUAUUUUUGAAAAUAAAAAUUAAAGACAGCCUUUCUGGAAAGAAAUUCUAGUCUCAGCAUUAGAAAACAUAUUUUUAGGCCUUAACUUACUACUAUUAAUUGUUUGCAUGGCCUUGUUAAGUUCACUUCACAUUCAUGGGUUUUUAAAAAAUGUUCACAACUGGAAGAUAAGGAUUCAUUUAUUUGUUUGUUUCUUUCAUUGGUUUGGUUUUUGGCUUUUCUGGUUUCUGGAGUCCUUCUAAUGUACCAGGCUCAAUUUUCAAAGAUUUAGUCUCAAAUGAGCCCUGAAGUACAUACUUUAACAUGAAAUUAUUGUGAUUUUGCUACAAAUUGUCUAUGAACUGCAACUUAAGGUUACCUUCUCCAUAAGAAGACAAUAACUUUCAGAAAUCUGGCACUCUGUUCUCAAAUAUAAGUAAACUAACAUUUCUAGAUUUUAACUUUUGUGGACUAAUAUAAAAUUAGCAUGUGCUUUUCUCACAUAAGUUCUUAUUUACCCUCUUCAAAGAUCUCUGAUUGUUUUUUUUGAAUUUUAUGCAUCUGAUACAUUUUUUAUGGACCUAUUGGAAAAAGAAAUAAUCUCAAAUGUCUAUUUUUUAAUAACUGCAAGUGUGAAGAAUCACAUUUCUAUACUCAUUUUUAAAAAUAAUUUUGCCAAAAAUUCUUCCUAAAACAAACAUCUUCUUAUAACUCCAACUGUUGGAGUAUUGUAAAAUAUUAUGAGAACAAUACAACCCAACCCUCCUUUUCUUUUUCUUCAAGUGUUCCCUUUGAAGAUUUUAUGUUUAAAAUUAAAGAGGUCAAGAUAAAUGAAAGGUGGAAAUAAUGGUAAACAGGAUGUGUUUCCUUUGUACAACGCAGACGCAGACUCCCUAAUUCUGAAGUAUAGUUCCCAUGAAACAGUUGUUUGUGAAUGGUAACAGUGGAAAAAAGAAAAUUCUGCAGGUCUUAGAACAAGUAAUAUGAGUUCAUUGGUUAAGAAAUUCCAAAUGCAAUAAGAGUUUGGUUGCAUUGAAAAACAGGACCACUGGUUUUAACUUCCCUGCAGCUGUAGAACAUCUGGAACAAAUAAGACAAGUUUCUAUUUUUGAGUGAAGAAUGCUUGUCUGAGUGAUUCACACCCACCAAAAUGUUUCCAGUGUAUUAUCUUUAGAGGGACUGAGUGGGAGCACUUCACACUCACCCCCUUCUAGUAUCUGGACUAAUGGAAAAAAUAGCAUUUCUCUUUUACUUUAAGGAAAUAUUAAUCAUGGGAGAGUCUGAGUCUGAUCAUGACAUAGGUGCUCUUAAACUGGCAUGUUCUACUAAUAAGGCAAGAGAAAGAGAGAUUAUGUACAAGAGUUAAAAUAGGAAACAAAAAUCUUUCUUAAUUACAUCACCUUUUCUUCCCUUCCCACUUCCACUCACUAAAAUGGAAAAGGGCCAUGAGAGCCCAUAAAACUUGGAAAAAUACUUGGUUAAUAAGUAUUUAAAACUAUUCAUUGAAUGAAUGAUUCUCUCCCAAAGCAAAUAAUAUUGUUAAUAACAAUAAUGCCACACCAAUCAAAAGUUGAUACAUUACUAGUAUUUCACUAGUAGUGAGACCAAAAAUGUAUGUGAACAUCCCAUUCUAAAUAGAUCCAAAUAAUUAAGAAAAAAAAUUGCCAGAAAUUAUCAUUGGAAAGAGGUUUUGUAGAGGUUAUAGAGAAAUCUUUAUUUUGGUCUAUGCUUUCAUGUCUUCCUGUGUGGUCCUGAGAAUUUGUAAUUUAAAUUGUCUCAAUGAAAGUAUUAAAUUUAAACAUUCAUUUAUGUAUGAACAGACUCAGACAGUUCAAGUGACCUGCUCAAGGUCACAUAGGUAAUUAUUAGUAGAAUAUAACAAUAGAGCUUAAAGUUAAAUAUUAUGAGACACCAUGCGGGGAGGCAAAGACAAGCAAAAUUUCAACUCUAGCGCUUUAACUGCUUUUAGGUCUGGUUCUGUGUUUUUGUUUUGUUUUAGGGAAAUAGGCAUAUAUAAACAUACAGCAGUAUACUGUAGAAAGUGAUAAGUUGUUAAAAAAAGAGGAAUAGUUUGGGAAUUCAGUGGAAGAGGGAUGACUUUUGAUCUGGAGCAGGAGCUAGUGAAGAGGAAUGGUGAGGAGUAGCAUUGGGAAAUAUGUUAGGUAAUGAUGGAGGAGGUAAUUUGACUGGGAACAAAGGAUGAUCAGGAAUCCAUACAUAGAAAGAGGCAGUCAGUACCAGAAAUGAAAUCUAUUAGCCAAGGUUCUUGAGAGUAAAACAGAAAAAGAAAAUAGUUCAAUUUGGCUGCUGCAUUGUCUUGGAGGAGUGAAGUGGGAAUUAAGUGUGGAGAAGUCAUGAAAAGCCUUGAGUCCAGCAUGAUAGGGUUCUUGGAAUAGAGUAGAUACGAAAGGGCCAAAGCUCUUGUACAGGGAAACAGCAGGAUGAAAGGCAUAUUUUAAGGUGGUUAAAGGGUGUAGAAUAGUUCAGAAUAAGGAGGAAAAACUGAAGAAGGUGAGCACAAUAACAAUAAUUCAGGUGAAGUGAAAGGAGAAUAAGAAUUAGGUAGGGAUCCUGAUAUAAUUAGCAGAUUUUAAUUUGAUGCUUCCAGUAUUCUAACUACCUGAUAGGUAAAGACAAAACUUAGAGAAUAUAUAUGCAUCUGGACAAGAUCUCACUUCACCCCAGAAAAAAGAAAGAUGUACUAGAGCACAUCUGGAAUAUGGUUGUUUGAAAAAUGGUUGAUAACAAGCAAACCAACCCAAAAAACAUGUUUAACGAUCUCAGAGAUGUGCAGUUUCUGUUAAAUGGAGAAUAUUGGUGAAAUGAAAAACACUUUUAUAGAAUAAACCUUUCUGGAUGCAUUUUGAGUGUCAGGAAGCUUGGAAACCAUGUGCAAUACAAAUUAUGUGCUGAUUUAGUAAGAUGUAUUUCUGUUUUCUUUAUGUAUCAGUGCCCCUUACUGUCCAGCGGAGCCCAAACUCCUCCUUUUGAAAAUUGUUCACAAGCACUCAUCCAUAACAAAGAGCUACUUUACAACACAAGUUGUCAUGACAAGGGCUCUUCAUCAACCUCCGGCUCACCAUGGCUUGCUUGAUCAGGAGCAACUCCUGUCGAGUCAGUAAAGCAUUUCCUUGUCCUCCCUUCAACUCAUCUUGGCCACUCAGGAGAAUCCAGGCUCCACCACCCCUGGAAAGUCAAAACUGAACCCAUCCAUGGUGAAGCACAGGAAUCUAUAUUUUUAAAUCUCCCCAGGUGAUCCUAAAGAUUAGCUGAAUUUGAUAUUCAACUGCUUUACACAGUAACAUUUUAUUAGCUAUUGCUUCACCUCACUGUAUGCAUGUAAAGGAAUCAAACUUCAUUCCUUUAAAAUGAGUUUUACUUCAACCAUUUUAAAUUUAAUUCAUUUAAAUUGCACUUUUCUGGGACUGCACAAAGAACUAGAAAGUACAGACUAUAUACCAAAGACUUCUGGACAAUGUCUACAGGAAUACCACUGCACUAGAUGUCUUUGAAUCAAUUUAGGGGAAGAGGAGCUAGGCAGUGGUACCCCUUCUUACUAUCACUGCCUCCUCAAAAAUCAUUUUGUGAAGUACAAUUGUCCAAAGGCUCAAAUGAAACUAUAUAGGGAUAAAAACUUUUAAAGCAUUAACUGUGCCAAGUAGGGCAGGGAUUCUUUCUGGUUUUACCAUUGAAUUGCCAAUGCUAACACCAUACUGGUACUUGGUAGGGUGUUCAAUAAACAUCUGAGCAAUUAAUAUAUUGAAUAUUAAAUAUUUGCUAAGGAAGUAAAUAGUAGGGUCAAAAAUAAUCAUGGAAAAUUUGAGAUUAAUGUAUUUUAAGAAACCAGGCACUAGAAACAUAUGUAAAACUAAAGCUAUUUUUAGAUAGAACAGACCAAAAUAAUUGACUCUGGUGCCUUGUUUUCUCUUUGGUAGGUGAAUUAAACCUCAGGGUUCUUUGCUGAACCUUGAAAUACUGACCCUGGAUGUCCAGGCAAUGCGUUAGGUGUAUGAAUGAAUGAGAAUAGCAAUUAUUUUAUUAUUUUUAAAAUAAAUGUGUACAUGUUAUUGUAUAUUGUGCAGAUACUAAAAACAAAUAUGCCAAAUUUCACUUUAUUUUUCUAUGAGCAGAAGACUAUUUAAGUAAACCAAUUGAAAAUAAAUUCAACCCAUAAAAGAACUGUUUGGUUUUCCUUUUUAUUUUUUCCUUUAUUUGGGAGGAAGAUUUCAAUAACACCUUCUUACACCUCCUCUCUUCUUUGUUCCUUCCUCUCCAACAAUUCCCACCCAAGCACUUGCUGCUAUUAGAAGGAAGGGUGUUAAUGACCUUCUUCAUUCUGCCUGUCUCUGAGCUCAUUGACUAGUCUUCAUUUCCCUUACCACCCAGACCUUAAAAUCUCAACCUGUGACAGCUUUGAAAUUGCUGUUCUCAAAAUGGAAGCCUAUUAAAUAGAUGGUUCAAGUUUAAUUUCUUGUAGCUCCACCCCCAGUGAAAGUCCUCAGUUUUAUAGUUGGGGGGAGUUUUUCUGCAGGGUACAUGUAGAGUUCCUUUUGAACACUAAAAAGAAAAAGAACACUCUAAAUAACCUAGUUUCAGCAAGGCUAUGGUUUCUGCAACAUCUUUGGGAAUGCCUCCUAAAACUCCAGUGCAAAACUGAACUGAAGACGCAGGGCCAGUGGGGCAGGGGACACUUACUAAAUCACCAACACUACUUUUUUGGCUCUUGGAUUUUCCUUGGAGGCCUCCUGUAAACGUUGCUUUUUAACUGUGGCACAGUCACAGUUAUUAAGUAAAACUGAAGUUUUGCCAACUUUCUGGUUUUGCUGCCCAAAUUACUAAAUGUUUGCUUGAUUAUAGCCCUAAAACACCCACAUACUAAGUAGCUUUUAAACAUUUUUUCCUCUGGGCAAUCACCUGGUAUAUCUGAACUGAAAGUCCACCACAUAUAAAUUAAGUAUUUACUCAACUAACUACUGCUAAAAUCAAUGACCUUAAGGAAUACAUUAAAAAUUAUAUAAUAGAGCUUGGCUUUUAUGAAUUAAAACUCCUAAAAUUUAAAUGCCAUGUCUUCCUCUUGACCUGGAAAACUGAUUUUAAAUUUUAUACACAGUAUUUAUGGAACAACCCCUGGAGAUAAGCACAUUGCUGUUAAGAGUCCAGUGUAUGAACUUAUAUAUGAAGUAUAGCAUAAGAAAAGUGAGCUGCAGAAAAAAAAAUUAAAUAUAUAAUUUUGAAUUUUUACCUAUAUUGUAAUGUUUAGUAGUAAGAGAGUAUCAAUGAUAACCCUUAUUGUGAGUCAUACAUAUCCCAUAUGGUAUACAUGACAAAGAAAAAUUACUGUUUCAGCUUCUGAUUAUAAAGAUAGCCUAAUCAAACACAAUGCCAUAAGUAGGAGGAAAAAUGUGACCCAGAGAAAUGAGGAGGGAGGGGUUUGGAGAAGAAUUUAGCCCCAGUUCUUGCUAACUUUUUCACAAAAUGUAUUACCAACAGCAAAGGAAUGUGGGAAAGAGUGGAAAGUCAGCUUCCUGGUAGAUAAAAUGAUGGAGUACACACAAAGUAAAUGUUUCCUCCAUGAUCACAAAGCCUGACACCAGAAAGAAGCAGACACCAGAAAACACAUGAGCCACGCACAGUUCUUGCAGGUGCAAGGCCUCAGUUAAGGAUAUUUCUAAUUCAAAAAGAGAGCAUGAAUUCUGGGACUGAACAAGUAGUCACCUCCCAUGACUCCUUCUCAACCAUUCUCCCUGGGAAAUGCUUACAAUUUCCAAGCAUUAAAACCCCAAAGCAAGAUUAGAGAUGUUGAAGUUUAUUAGAAUCUGUAAUACAACAGCAUGAAGUGUGUUUGAGGCCAUUAGUGAGGAAGAAAAACCUUAUUUUGACAACAUAUAAGCAGUCAUUGCUGGCUAAUAACAAAUGAAACUAACAAAGAAUUGGCAGCCUCCACUUGGUAGCUCAAAAAACUACCUCUCAAGUACAUGAGAUUGCUCCAAAGGAUAGGUUCUUAACCUUUUGGAAACAAAAAAAUUUACUUUAAACCUGACAAGUUCCAUAGAUUUAUCUGAAACACACAUACACACAAGCAGAUAUGCCUGAAUACAGAGUAAUAGACUAAUAUUUUAGGAUACUCAAACCUGCCUAAGUCCCUUAAGCAGUCCCACUCCCUCCAAUACCUGGGAGUAGCUGAAAGGGCUGGAAGAACUCCAGGACAUCUUGGAAGGGGUUCAGGGAUGCCACUAUGGCUCGGGCAGGGAAAAAUCUUUAGAGAGGGCAAACUUUAAAACUAAAAAUUAGAGUUUCAGAUGCUUUUUUUCAGCUCUGUAAUUGGAGAAAAUUAUUUAACCCUGUUGUGCACUUCUCUACCUCAGUUUUCUUAUCUGUAAAAAAAAAAAUCUAUUAUGAUUAAGUGAGCAUGUGUAAAUGCCUGCUACUACUGAGUAAGUGCUUAAUGGAUGAAUGUUGCCUCCUGAUGGUGCAUUACAUUAUAAACAUGGAAGUUCUAGAAAGAUAAUAAUUUUUCACUGCAAAAGUUAAAAACUAAAAUAUAUGUCCAUGACUAGGCAGUGGUUAACUAAAUUAUGAUACAUCCACAAAAGGAAAUUUUAUAGUAUUGUAAUAGGGGAAGAAAUGUCUCAGAGGAAGGGUUGAAGGAGUUCCCAGAGGGAAGGGGAAACUCAACACAGACGGCUAGGGUUCUUGGUAUAUGACAGAGAGGAAUUUCAGUAUGUGCCAGUCAGAGACAUGGACAUAUUUCUGUUAAGGAAAGCAGAGGCACAUUCAAUGGAGAAUGUGGGCUGCCUUUAGAAGGAGAAACAGAAACCCAUUGGUGUGGGGUGUUAAUAUUUAGAAGGUGCUGCUCCUUGCAGGUAAGGAUCAAGGGCACGGACCAAGGGUGUGGGCUAGUUCACUCAGGAGUUGCAGCCUUUCAUAGAUAUUUUUACAUUUCAGUGGUUUCUGAGCUCUAUCUUUGAGAUUCAGUAUAUCUUCUUCUUUUCUGUAUCUUCAAAUUCCUAUCUUAGGAUGUAGUAGUUGAAAACAUCAAAGCUCUAAUUACUGUCAUUGAUGUACUAUUGGGAAUAGAUAGAUGUUCAAGAUACAUUAUUAAGUGAAAAACAGCAAAUUGUCAAACAGUAUAGGUAACAUUCGGUUCUAUGCGUUAGUCAUAAUUUUACAUAAGAAUGUCCUAUUUAUGAACAUUAAGAUUGGUUUCUGUUUUCCAUCAACUAACAAGCGAUCCUCUACAACCAAGUUUAACUAACAAGUCUCUACAACCAAAUUUCUGCUCAACCCUCCUUAAGACAGAAUUAUAGCAUGGAAAUUGUUUAGUUGUAUACUUUGGGGGGCUGCGGUUGUGGCUCAGCUGUAGAGCACUCACCUAGCACAUGCGAGGCCCCAAGUUCAAUCCUAAGCACCACAUAAAAAAUAAAUAUAUAAAAUAAAAGUAUUGUGUCCAACUACAACAAAAAUAAAUUAAAAGAAAAAUAUAAAAAAUAAUGUAUACUUUAAAGCUUUAGAAAGAUGCUGUCAAAUUGUGUUAUAAUUAGACCAUAUCAACUUACAGUUAUCCCCGAACUGUUUAAGACUCCCUAUUCUUCAUGCUCUAUUUAUUUUACAUCCUUUUAAAACUAUUAAUUUUGCAGUCCAAAUUUAUUUGGAGUCAUUUUAUUUGCAUUUUUUAUUGUUAUUGGAAAUGAACAUUUCUUUCUUAUGAAUGUGAGCAUAUUGUAUUUUUAUUCUGUAAUUGUUACUUCCUUCUGACCACUUAUCUUAUAAGUUCUUAGUGGGCUUUUAAAAUAUUAUUGUUGUUAUUUUGUGUUAAUGGUGGUAGAGAUCGAACCCAGGUCCUUGUGCAUGCUAGGCAAGUGUUCUACCAUUGAGCUACAUCCCCAGCCCCAUAAUAUUAAGUAUUCUAAGCAUGUACAAUUACAUUCUGGUAAAAAGGAUAAUAGCUUCUUACUGAAUUUAUGCAAAUUACUAAAUGGCCAUUGAGGGUAAGGAGACUUACUAAGCAUUUCUGUCUCCUAGAGGGAUAAAUGAGAAUAAUAUAUGAGAAUAAAUGGGAACCAUUUUUAAAUGGUUCCUUUUAGUUUAUAAAAGUAGAAUCCAGGACUGGGAUUGUAGCUCAGUGGUAGAACACUUGCCUAGCAUGUAUGAAACACUGGGUUUGAUUCUCAGCACCGCAUAUAAAUGAGUAAAAUAAAGAUAGAUAUAUAUAUAUAUAUAUAUAUAUAUAUAUAUAUAUAUAUAUAUAUAUAUAUAUAUUUUAAGUAGAAUAUAUUAGAUUUCUAUGGGUUGUAGUAUUGAGAAAAGUUGUUCUUAUAUAUCCAAAAACAGAACAGGAAAAUAACAUCAAUGUUAUUCUAGGCAAAUAACCACAAGAUUUUUCUCAUCAGUUCAUUCAGUCAUACUACAAUUACUACAAUGAAUUUCUGCUGCUCUGAAUCCUGUGAUAGUCACCAUAUACCACUCUUUUCUUUGACCUGAAAAUGUUCCUGGCAAUCUUGACUCAUCCAUGAAGCAGUCUGUAAGCUGUCUAACAAUUCUGAGUUCAGUAUUGAGGUGUCAAUAUUUAAAAUAUCUGGUAGAGUCCUUUUCCACAAAAUUCUAAGGCUGUAUCUCCUUAUCAAAGACAGAAGUUCUGUCCUAUAACCUAUGAGAGACUUUAGAGAAGCAUCAGAGUAAAAUAUUUCUAUCUGUAGAUGAUGGGGACUGAAAAUGACUGUGGUUGAAUUACUGCUGACAAUUUUAAAUGUGGACUGUCAGGUGGAGGUUCAUAACAAUAAUGCAGCACGCAAGGAAGUUUAGUUCUUUCCGUGGUAUACAAAACAAAGAUAAUAAAGCCACUACAGAGAAAAAUCGGACCAAACAUCUCUAAGGAAAAUUAUUAAAUCUAUUUUAGAAGAAAUCUAUGAAUUACAUAUCUGAUUCAAAAUUAAUUUAAUUAAAAUAAUUUUAAUUGAAGAGAAAAUCUUGAAAUGUGACUUAUAAUAAUCCUGAGCCAUAAUUAUUAAUGCCAAGAAUACCAAGAAAUUUGGAAAGUCAAAAGAAAAAAACUCAACAUCUGUAUGUUUAAAGCAGCUGAAGUCAUAACUAAUAACAUUGCACUAUUAUUAUCUAAUAUCAGACAAAGCACCUCUAGAACUAUAAUAAACAGAAAAACCUGAUAGAGUUAUUCCUAAGAGUUGCAAUGAUUUCCCUGAGAGCAAAAUCAUAUAAGAUACUAAGAGAAAUGACAAAACUCCAAGGAUUUUCCAUAAAGCUUACAAAACUUCUAACAUAUUUAUAUCAAUAGCAUUAUAUCUGUACAGAUUUACAUAGGUUAAGUUCAGCAUCUCUUUUUUAAAUUUUUUUAAACCACUUCCUGAGGAAUUCUACAAAUAAAUCUAAGUAUUUUCAGCACCUCUUUUCAAAAGUGAAAGACUCAUUCUUUGUGACUUUUUUUCACCAGGGGCCUCUGAGAACUUUUAAGUAUAAAAGACAUCCUGAAAGUUUAAUUUCUUUUAUAGUUAGGACCCAAUUAUGGAACUGCGGAAAUCAGAAGGUUAAAAAAAAAAAAAAACUUGUCUGAAUGUAUUUGGAAACUUGAAUAAUAUAAGACGAGGGUGCCAGGGAAAUACUGUAUUAAAUAUUUAAACUCUUUUUGUGUGUGUUUUGUUCUAGGUAUUGACCCAGGGAUACUCUACAACUGAGCUACAUUGCCAGUGCUUUAUAUUUUUUAUUCUGAGAUUGGCUCUUGCUAGGUUGUUGAGGAUCUAAGUUGUCUAGACUCACCUCAAACAUGAUCUUCCUAUCUUGCCUCAGCUUCCUGAGUUUCUGGGACUACAGGCUUGCAUCCCUGUGCCUGGCUAUUUAAACAUUUUAAGCAAUAAAAUAUUUUAAAAAUAAACAUAGAAGUUAAUAUGUUUGUAAAGAGCCUGAGCUCUUUAUAAUUAAGAAAUCUUUGUUCAUUGGUUUUUUUUAUGAUUUUUCUUUCUCUUAAAUAAUCAAGGAUAUAAAAAAAUUCAACUGCAAAGCACAAAAAAAAUUAUUCUUGUAAGACCAAAUCUUUGCUGUUUAGAUAGAUAACAUAGAGAGUUUUUUUAAAGUCUUUUCUUUAAUAGGCAAAGAAAAGAAAUCAGUAAGCCAAGAAAGCAAGCUCAUCAGAUUGGGCCAACAUUUUGUUUGUGGUGUGUAGCCCUGGGAAUUGAACCUAGGACCCCAGGCAUAAAAUUGAACCAACUUUACUAAAAUUUUAGUACUUAACAGCUUCUUCUCAGACUCCAGUAUUAUACACCAAGUCAAGUAAAAUGUCCUUCCAAAAUUUGUCCUUCAUUUCACCUUUUCAUAUCACAGAAAUUCUUACUGACACCAUAACUGCACACAAAAAAAUUACAUUAAUACUUAACAUGAUAUUCUGUUAACAGUUCAAUGAAUUCAGCAUCUCUAUGAUCAAAUAAGUCAGUAAAUAUUCUUAAAUUUCUCAAUCAAUAUGGUAUAUUGAUAGUUGUCACCCACAUACCUUAAAGUUUCUUGGGGUCCACAAUAAGUCCCAAGAUUUUACAGGGGUUCUGAGAUGGUAGGAAAAAAACAUUUUCUCUUUCUGUCUUUCUCCUUAUCCCUUCUUCCACUAUUAUAUACCAAAGUAUAUUAGCAUUCCACUAUUAUACACUACUUUGCAACAGCCACUAUAAGGCGAAUCUGUAUUGUCUUUGAGAUGUAAAACACACAUAUUAUGAAUCUAUUCCUAUUAUUCCUAGCAUGGCCUCAAUUAUUCAUACUAAUAGUGACUUUUAACCAAAGUAACUUCCAUUUCACAGAGAAAGCUGGAGGUAGAGAAUUUAGAACUAUUUUUCCACACACAUUUUAGCAGACUAGCAAAGUUUAUAUUGCAACUUUCUAUAUCCACACACAUAACUUUUUUAAAUAGACAAAAUGACAUUUUCAUUAACAGAACCCAAAGACAAGCACUUUUCAUAUCAUGUGAAAAGAUAUAUAUAAACUCAAAAUCAUACCUAAUAGGUAUCAAAUUUCCAGUAGUCUUAGUUAGAAAUUAUCUAAAUAUCAAAUAAGUUUUCAUUAUAUAAUUCAAUGUAAUAUCAGUUUAAUGUUUUAUGUUACAUAAAGAUAUUGGGAAGGAUAUUCAAACUGACAUACUUAAAAAGGUAAAACAUAAUUAUAGUCAAAAUAAAAUGGUCAGAAUAAUGAUUUGAUUUAGUUGAAUACAAAUUUACAUUUCUCAUAAUCUUUAAUUUUAUAUGUGAGUAAAGUUGACAUGAUGAGCAUACCUGCAUAAUUUUAAGAAAAAUAAAACCUAGUGGAAUAAAAUGUUGCUCAUUUUAUGUUAUACCCAACAAUGAUGAACCAUCGAAGGCAGCUUUUUUUAUUAAUACAAAAUUACUACCUUGGUCUUGAAUUAAAAAUUGAACUUAAAUUUUAAAAAUUCUGAGUUUCUUUAAGAAUAACUUUUAAGUAUUGCACAUUUAAAAUAUUAUAAUUUUAAUUUCCUCAUUUCCUAAGAAUUUUAUGGGUAUUUGCUUUAUAAAAUAAAUUAUUUAUAUCAGAACUUUCUUAUAUGGCAAUCACAAAAGGGUUUCUAUGAGAAACUUUUUAACCAAAUUUAUUAUACUCCAGAGAUUGGAAAAUAUUGUGCAUUCACACUACAAAAGAUAAAGGUCUUCCUAAAUUACAAUAUUUUACAUACAGAGACACAAAAACAGCUAAUAACAUCAGGUCUCAGAAUUAUCCACAGGUCAAAAACAAACACACAGAAUCACCAGUCCAUAUGUCAAAGAGUUAUACUUUUUUUCAAUAGGCACAGCAUUUUUAACUUAUGUUUAAAAUAUAUAAGUAUACAAAUAAUGAAAAUAAAAUACUAAAAAACUAGAUUAUUUAUUUUCUGUCUUCCAACAUAGAAUAAAUCUCUAUUAUCCAUUUACAGAAAUUACAAAAAUUAGACCAUAAAACCAAAUUCAGAAUCACUGCUGUUACUAGUGGGGGAAUAAUUUAUCAAUUGUAAAAGUUUAAAAGACAAAAUCAAAACACAAAAAUAUCAGGAAAAAAAAUAGAAAGAAAUAGAGGAUCAGCAAAGUUUACAUUCUAUUGCUACUUAAAAUUUACCUCUGGAGGUUCAGAAAAGACAUGCCAUGAUAGAAGAGGCCAGUGAGGUACCUUGUUACCCUACCACAGGAAUACUUAGCUAUCAGAGGAACCCACUAGGCAUCAGCAGGAGACACUCCAAUUACAAGAGACUUUUCUAAAAACAGCAUAAUUGUAACUCUUCUACAGAUAUAACAUGAACAUAUUAAAAAAUUCAUUUAAUUAAUCAUAGAAGGAACCAGAAGAUAUUACAACCAGUUCAAAGGAGAAUAUUCAAAGAGUAGAAAACAUGUACAUAUAAGGUAUAAGGAAAAUUGAAGUAAAAUAGUUUCAAAACAGGUCCUUAUAAAGGGCAAUAGUUAAUUGCAUUUCACUGGGCACAAUUAAUUUGCAUCUUAGACAAGAAUAUAAUAUUGUUUUUACUAUUAUCAGUUUUGUACAAGUGAAAGAACUGUAAUAAAGAUUGAAAAUUCAAGAUUGAAGAAGUAUGAGGAAAUCUCUUGUAUUGAAAUAAUGACAUGAUAAUUUUUUAAAAACUUAUAAAUUAACACAAGAAAUGAAUCAUCUCCUCAGGUUCAUUGUCAAGGGAUUCAUGUUGUCCAGGCACAUAAACAUAUUAAACACUUACAUUCAUUUUAUGAUCAUUUCACAAAAUAUUUCAGAUUUUAUUUGCUCAUUCAGCACUUGCAUUAGUGCAGCAUUUCCUAUGCCCAUCCUCCUACUUGAAAUCCCUUGUCACUAUCCAUUGAUUUGGGGAGACAGCACUGUCAGCAGUGCCACAUGGCAAUACAUUUGGUCCAAUGAAUAGCAUUAGAUUGGGUGAGUGAGUCAAGAAACUCAUUCUUUUUGUUGUACCCAUUUUAAUGACUAUAGUUUUCAUGAUUGUUUAAUUGUUUUGAGUUACACACUGUGUAGCUCAAAAUUUCCAAAAUAUAAUUUUUCAACUGGUAUAAGAAAUUAAAAAUUAUGUGGGAAAAACAAUACCAAGGUUUCUCUCUAGCUCCAGUUCUAAGUUUCCUACCAUUUAUUUCUAAAAUAGAAGAGACAACAAGUAGCAUGAUAUUUUCAUUAUUAAAUUCACAAAAGGCUCAAUGGCUUGUAUUUUUCCAAUUAUCAUAUCAUGCAACUCUUUUAGAGAAUUUUUUUCCCUCUGUAAGAAUUAGUUUCACCUACACUUCUCUCUUCUCUUUAUCAAUACCACAUCACCAAAUAGUUAUUUCCAUAGGAGCUCCUUAGGAGCUAAUUAUAUUGUAAAUAUGAUUGACAAUGCCAAAUAAAGAUAAAGAGACCAAACUUUUUUUUUGUAGAUUACAAUUUGAAUGGGGGAGAGAAGCAGAUAAAUGGCUUUUAAGAUAAGAAAGCAGUUCUUCAUGAAACUCACCGUGGACAGGUCUACCAUUCCACAUUUGAGAGAUUUUUAUUUGAUAAAAUGGAGUUUAAGAUAGCAUUGUUUUUGAAUUAUGGUCCUGAAAUCAUAUAUUUGUAAAACCCAUCACUAGAAUUUCUACAGAGUUAAUAACUCACAGGGUUCAACAGAAUCUAGGCCAUUGUGAGCCUGAGACACUGCUCUGAUCCAGGUAUUCUUGGUAAUGUCACAACCCUGGGCCACAAAGCUCCUAAUAGGAAUCAUCACUGCUCUUGAGAAAGAGUCAGGGGAGGAAACAUGGAACUGUCUCCAUGGAAACAGCCUUUUUAGUUCUGUCUUCUGCAAUAUUGAAGCAAACAGACAAUUCACUUAAUACCACUUAUUUUAUUGAUUGAACUAACAGUGUAAUUUGUUGUGUAUUUUAGGCUCAACCAGGUGACAACUCCACUAGAAUCCCCAUCCAGACAGAUCUCUACAUACAAGCGAUCAUUUUCGACCACAUUUCCAGGAGGAAGACUUAAGCACCAACUUCUUAGGUGGUUUCCUCAUUGUUUGGUAAAUUUAAAUUGAUCCUGUAAUCAGAAGCAAAUUAGAAUCAGAUAAAUGAUUCUUGGUCCUGAUCCUUAGAAUAAUAAAAGUUAAUAUAGAAAUUAGAAAACUGUCAUCUUGCCUGUCUUUGUAUUGUACAGAUAGCCUCUUGAUGUGAUUUGGGGUUUUUCCUUUUCUUUCUUUUUUUCCCCCUUGAACACUGAGGCGGAUUGCAACAGUUCAUGAAAGAAAAUCUUGUUGCCACUUCAAAGAUACAUUAAUUGGUGACAUAUUGUGUAGCUCAAAUUUUCCAAAACAAAAAUGUUCCAGUUCCCAUUAUUGCCAAAUCUAGUAGACCAAAAUGAUGUCGUGUGGCACUGCUGGCAGUGCUGUCUCCCCAAAUCAAUGGCUAGUGAUAAGGGAUUUCAAGUAGGAGGACCGGUCUAGGAAAUGCUGCACUAAUGCAAGUGCUGAAUGAGCAAAUAAAAUCUGAAAUAUUUUGUGACAUGAUCAUAAAAUGAAUGAAAGUGUUUAAUAUGUUUAUGUGCCUGGACAACACGAAUCUCAGGACAAUGAAGCUGAGGAGAUGAAAUCUAAAGGAAACCAGAGGAUUUUAGAAAAAUGACUGCAUCACAAUGGAAAUGAACAUGUUUUCCUAAUGUGCCUUUCACAUAGCUUUCGUGAAGAAAAGAUACUAUGCAGAGGCCACUUUUUAUUUAAAAUUAAUAUUUGGAUCUUCUUCCCACUCAGUUCCCUUUCAUUUCUAAACAACUUAUUCCUGAGGCAAUUAGAUGGGGCUAAAUAAAGUGGGAGUCUCUUUGGUGUGUGGCAAUGGGAGAGUCCCAGACAGUGUCCAUUCAAAUGAGGUGAGAAGGGUGUAUCCAUGUGGGAAGCUGUAGAAUGGCACAAGAUGUCAGAUCCCAAGCAGGGUGAGUGGAGUACAGCUUAAAUUGCAAUUGCAUGUGUUUGAUCUCAUAAUUUUCAAUAUAUACAAUGGAUUGUGUGUGUGCAUGUGCACACCUCACCUGCAUGCUAUCAUGCCCACUGAGAGAGCCCAGCAGCAGCAACACCCCAGGAUCAGUGUCUUAGUUUCUCAGAAGCAUUUUCCAUUAAAAAUAAGCAGAAUCCUUGGGAAAACAACUGAUUUCAGGUUCAUGGAAGAGAAAAUUCAAGAGUCUGGAACAGACUUUUCCAGAAAGCAAAGAAGUACUCAUCAAAUAAGGAAGAUUUAUUAAAAGGACACAGAACCCAGUUCGGAGGAGCUCCCACUGGCCAAAUCAAGGAUAGUGGGCAUCAAAGCAACAAUAACAGCAAGAAUCAAAUAGGAAUCCAGAACCCAUACUGAUGCAUACACAUGAAUAAAUAGAACAAUGAUUAGGAAGUGGAUAUUUACCUCUCCACAAACACUUAUUGAUUCUAAAGGGACCAAGAGAAAUGGCUAGCAAAUACCACUUACAGGAAGUGAUGAAGAAUAUUGUCAGUAAUGAGGCAAACUGAAUCUGUGCCCUACCAAAUAAGAUUUAUGACUGAAUCAAUAUUAGUCAAAUAUCACAUCUUAAGUUGGACUAGCAAGGCUUCUCUCAUGCAAAGGAGAAAGACAGCAAAGUUGCAUAAGGCUCUGAAUGUAAUCAAAUGAAAUCAGACAAACCCAAAUCCAGGGACAUUAUACAAAAUAACUGGUCUGUAAUCUUUAAAAGUGUCAAAAUGAUGAAAUUGAAAGACUGAGAGACCAUCCAGACCAAAGAAUAGACACAUGACAACCAAUUAUAGCACAUAAUUCCAAGUUGAAUCCAUAUCCUGCAAAGGGCAUUUGGGGACAACUGGUAAAAAUCAAAUGGUUUCUGAAGAUUAGAUGGUAGUAAAGCAAAAAUGUUUACUGUAUGAUUUUGGUGAUUAUGUUGUAAUUAUAAAACAGAAUGUUGUUGAUUAGAGGAAUUAUUCCAAAGCAUCUAAGAGUCAAAGGGUAUCGUAUCAGCUGAUUAUUUAUAAACAACUCAAGGAAAAAAGGUCUUUGUGUUAUAAUUGCAACUUCUAAGCCUGAGAUUGUUUAUAAUAAAAUAAAUAUUUUAAUUAUUAAAUUUAGAAAUUCAGAACCCUAAUUCCUUUU
rnacentral:lncRNA from 1 species